rnacentral:rRNA from 1 species
GAUCGGUACGGGCAGUGGGAGCUGUAGCCNGGAGUUGGGGACUGAGACAAGGCCCCAGGCCCUACGGGGCGCAGCAGGCGCGAAACCUCUGCAAUGCGGGAAACCGUGACAGGGGGAUCCCAAGUGCUCAUGCAUUGCAUGGGCUGUUCUUUGGUCUAAGUAACCAGAGAAGUAAGGGCUGGGCAAGACCGGUGCCAGCCGCCGCGGUAAUACCGGCAGCUCGAGUGGUAGCCGCGAUUAUUGGGCCUAAAGCGUUCGUAGCCGGAUAAGUAAGUCUUUGGUUAAAUCCUGCGACUUAACCGUGGGAAAUCUAGAGAUACUGCUUGUCUUGAGACCGGGAGAGGUUGGAGGUACUCCUAGGGUAGGGGUGAAAUCCUGUAAUCCUAGGGGGACCACCUGUGGCGAAGGCGUCCAACUGGAACGGGUCUGACGGUGAGGGACGAAACCUAGGGGAGCGAGCCGGAUUAGAUACCCGGGUAGUCCUAGGCGUAAAUGAUGCGAGUUAAGUGUGGGGGCAUCUACGAGAUGGCCCUGUGCUGUAGGGUAGCCGUCAAACUCGCCGCCUGGGGAGUACGGUCGCAAGGCUGAAACUUAAAGGAAUUGGCGGGGGAGCACCACAAGAGGUGGAGGCUGCGGUUCAAUUGGAUUCAACGCCGGG